UACGUAGGGUGCGAGCGUUGUCCGGAAUUAUUGGGCGUAAAGGGCUCGUAGGCGGUCUGUCGCGUCGGGAGUGAAAACUCAGGGCUUAACCCUGAGCCUGCUUCCGAUACGGGCAGACUAGAGGUAUGCAGGGGAGAACGGAAUUCCUGGUGUAGCGGUGAAAUGCGCAGAUAUCAGGAGGAACACCUAUGGCGAAGGCAGCUCGCUGGGACGGUACUGACGCUGAGGCGCGAAAGCGUGGGGAGCGAACAGG
rnacentral:rRNA from 1 species